GGUCCAGCCCAGCCUCGAACUCACAGAGAUCCGCCUGCCUCAGCCUCCCGAGUGCUGGGAUUAAAGGCGUGAGCCACCACCGCCCAGUUUAACUGUGUAAUUUUUGACCAGUCAUUUAUUUAGUUGAAACCUUGAUGUCUUGCUGUCCAUCCCUGGGUCAGGGUUAUAUUUUCUUUCUUUCUUUUUUUUUUGAGACAGGGUUUCUCUGUGUCGUCCUAACUGUCCUAGAACUCACUCUGUAGACCAGGCUCGCCUCAAACUCACAGAGAUCCUCCUGCCUCUGCUUCCCAAGUGCUGGGAUUAAAGACAUUUGAAGCCACCACCCUACUUCUUUUUAUUUUUUUAAAUUUGUUAUUUUAUUUAAUGUGUAUGGUUGUUUUAUAUGAACAUAUGUCUCUAUACCACCCACGUACAUGCCCGGUGCCUGCAGAGGCCAGAAGAAGGCAUCAGAUCUCCUGACGCUGGAGUUACAGAUGAUGGUGAACAGUGUUGACACUGGAACCGAACCCUACUCCUGCGCAAAAGCUACAAGUGCUCUUAACCACUGUGCCACCCGGCUCCUAGUUACCGUUCCCGUUUUGGUGAUGAUAUAGUCUACAGAAGCAACUUUGUAGGGAUUUAGUUGGGCUCGCGGUUUGAGAGGAUACAGUCCAUCACGGCAGAGAUGGCGCCGCAGAGGGAACAAACAGCUCCUCUUUGUGCCGGUGAGACCACGAGUCCGGGUGGAUCUGCAGCAGAGAGCCCAGGCACAAACACUCUAGCCCAGCAUUCUCAACCUUCCUACCGCUGUGACCCUUUAGUGCAAUUCCCCCACGUUGUGGUGACCCCCUCAACCCUAAAAUAAUUUUGUUGCUGCUUCGUAACUGCAAUUUUGCUGUCGCAAUGAAUCAUAACGUGAAUAUGGGCUAUGAGACCCCCGAGGGGUCAUGCAUGACCCACGGUUUGAGAACCACUACUUUGGUCCUUUCCCAACAGCCUUCUAUCGGCCAGUUAGGCCUCAGGUCUGAAAGAUCUUGCAACCUCCAAAACAGAAGUGGUCUAAACACUCCAGGGGGCACAAAUUGCCCUCUUAGCUCAUGCCUGCCUUUUGUCAUCCAUAGUUGCAAAUGCCUAGUGCAAAGGGAAAAUGCCCGUUUUUCUCUCACUAACGAAAUCGAAGUUCAGCAUAGGAGAGGAAUAUUAUUUUAUGAAAAUCUCCUCUGGGGAGAUCUGGGUGAGGUCUGAGAGGACAUGUUGGAGCUACAAGAGAGUUGUUCUUUCUGGGAUGUGCAACUGCUCUUUGAAUCCGCUCUUUGCCCUUUCUCCUACAGAUUUUUUCUUCUUCUUUUCUGUUGUUAUUUUUUAACCGAGAACGCGCGUUUCCAGCUGGCAAGGUCUGUGCUCAGCUUCUUCGGAGCAAACUGAGGCGUGUCGGUGAGAGGAUGCUGUGACAAGGGCCGGUGGCUGCCCCCUGAACCAAGGAGGCGAGGCGAAGGACGGACGCCGGAGUAUUCAGCAGGCACACAGCCCAAGUUGUCUGAAUGCCCCUUUCGUCACUGUUCCGCGCGUUUGCACUGCAGGGAGAAAGCCCCCGGGUGUCUGGAGCGCUGUCUGUCGCCAGAGCCCGUUCUCCAUCAGCUGCUCCUUUUGGUCAGGAAUGCUGUGAUAAGGAAUGGAGUGGAAUGCGAGCACUCAAUCAAAGCUAACCGGGAUGGCCUUUCUCGAGCAGAGGGCACAGGGGGGCGGGGAUUGCGCUCCCUGGGAACAUCAAAAACAAGGAGGACACGGAACUCAGGAGAGAAUGUGCCGACUGUGCUCUUCUUCGAGCUACCUCUGACCUGCAAUUGCAAACAUUUUUCUCCUAUCUGGUUGCACCUUUGAGGAUGUCCCCUGGGAUUGCAGCUUACUGAAUAGUUCUAUUUAGCUCGGCAUGGGAGGACCUGGUACAUGAAGGAACCCAUGGAGCCCAGAAGAGGGUGCUAAAUUCCCUGGGAGGUGGAGUUCCAGGAGACUGUGAUCUGCUGUAAUUGGGGAUCCUGGGAACCGAAACUGGGUCGUUAAUUAACUAAAUGACACUUGAAAAUA